rnacentral:rRNA from 1 species
CAGAGGGGGCGAGCGUUAUUCGGAAUUAUUGGGCGUAAAGGGCGCGUAGGCGGCUUUGCAGGUGACGGGUGAAAGCCCUCGGCUUAACCGAGGAACUGCCUGUCAGACUGUGAGGCUUGAGACCGGGAGAGGUGAGUGGAAUUCCCAGUGUAGCGGUGAAAUGCGUAGAUAUUGGGAGGAACACCAGUGGCGAAGGCGGCUCACUGGACCGGAACUGACGCUGAGGCGCGAAAGCGUGGGGAGCAAACAGGAUUAGAUACCCUGGUAGUCCACGCCGUAAACGAUGAGUGCUUGGUGUAGCGGGUAUCGACCCCUGCUGUGCCGAAGUCAACACAUUAAGCACUCCGCCUGGGGAGUACGGUCGCAAGACUG